rnacentral:ncRNA from 2 species
AUGAAAGCAAGAGGAGAGACUGCUGUAUGCAGCGCCGAAGGAGCAAGCAAAUUUGUGAAUCUCUCAGGCAAAAAGACUCUUGCUAGACG